ACAAUUUCUCGUUGCCAAGUUGCAGUCCGAAACCAGGGGAAAGUCCGGCGUCACGUCCGGCCGCUACCUACACCCAGCGGAGCUCUCUAUAAACUUCCCCCAUCCCUUUCCCUGCCGCCAUUCCAAAGCCGCUGCCCAUCGACGGCGAGCCAAUGGCGUCGUCGCCCGGCGGCUCGAGCUGCCGCGAUGGGUGGGAUGUCUCAUCUCUUUCAACCCCCACUAUUUCUUCAAAAAGCUCGGUGCCCGGCACCUCCUCGUCAGGUAUUCACCGCCGGCCUCCCUCCCUUUCUUUCCUUCUUUCUCCCCUUUCUCAUUGAUCGUUUCGCUUCUUACCCUAAUGCCUUUCUUUUGAUUCUUGGAAUGAGAAGUAGGGCGGAGAGAUCCACGUGGUGGGAGUCUGGGAGAUUGGGAGAGAUCAAGAACUGGAAAGCAUCCACAACCCUUCUCUGGCCUGCUCAGAUUGUAAGUUCCAUUUUCUCUCCAUCUACCUUAAUUUUCUCUGAGAUUUAAAGAUUUAGAUAACUUUUUUUUGUGGUAAAAUCUCCCAGAAAACCAUCAAGAACUGUUAUUUUCCAGCGAAUUUGAGGUCUUUCUUAACUUGACCCACGUAUAUUAUUUAAUUCAAUUGUUCACAGUUGGUCCGGAGUUGGAAAGCGUCCAAGAAACCUGUCUGGUCCCAAUUGCAUGUCUAAUUUAUUUCUUUGUCCAUUCACAAGGGUUUUUUAAAUCUCCAAAAAGACCAUUUCAGAAUGGUGACUUCUGACGAAUUUGAGGCAUCAAAGCAAUUUAGGAUAUAGCAAGUCUAUGUUGGUAUUUUGUUAAUAGCAACCUUUCUUAUCUAAUGACAAGUUGACACAUCAGAG
rnacentral:lncRNA from 1 species